UGAACGCUAGCGGGAGGCUUAACACAUGCAAGUCGAGGGGCAGCAUUCACUUCGGUGAGAUGGCGACCGGCGCACGGGUGCGUAACGCGUAUGCAACCUGCCUUAUACAGGGGGAUAGCCCAUGGAAACGUGGAUUAAUACCUCAUAGUACUAUAAAACUUCAUAGUUUAAUAGUUAAAACUUCGGUGGUAUAAGAUGGGCAUGCGUCUGAUUAGCUGGUUGGUGGGGUAACGGCCCACCAAGGCGACGAUCAGUAGGGGUUCUGAGAGGAUUAUCCCCCACACUGGUACUGAGACACGGACCAGACUCCUACGGGAGGCAGCAGUGAGGAAUAUUGGUCAAUGGGCGAGAGCCUGAACCAGCCAUCCCGCGUGCAGGAUGACGGCCCUAUGGGUUGUAAACUGCUUUUGUAUGCCAAGAAACCUGUCUACGUGUAGGCAGUUGACGGUAGCAUACGAAUAAGGACCGGCUAACUCC
rnacentral:rRNA from 1 species